CCCCACCGCGCCCCCUCCCCACCUAACGCGCACCCCACUCCGCCGCGCAAAACCGCUACCCCCACCGCACCCCCUUCUCUUCACGAUCAAAACCCCCACCCCCUCAACACUCUCUCUACCUCUCCGACACCGAUCUCCCUCUCCGACACCGACUCUGAUCUCGCUCUCCGACACCGCACCAACCUGCGGGACAAGAGAGGCUCCUAUUUGCUCUGGUUUGGAAUUAGUUGUUCGGAUUUGGUACUACUCGCCUCGACCCCAACAUAGAGAGAGUGAUCGCUUGGAUUGGGGGUUUCGAUUGCCCAGUGGCGUAGGUGAGCUCUCUUGGUGCGCGAUAGAUCGGCUUCGACUCCUUCUGAUUUUGUUCACUGCUGUGACAAUUUACAGAUCCUAGGUGGUGACAAUUAUUGGGCAGUGGUGAUACCCUUCGUUGAAGAUUUAGGCAUUGUUGCACGAUUAGUUAUUGCCACUCAAGGGGACCAUCUAUCAGCACGAAGUCAGAUGUUUGAUGACAUUCAGCCGCUAAUGAGAUGAUGAUCAAUGGUCGUAUAAGGACUCGGGGUUCUAGUAACAGUAGUUUCCCUACGAAAUUUGCAUAGUGAACGUCAGCCUUACGUACUACAGGAUCUCUACUUACAGAGAUACUUUACUCAGGAUAAGCAUUACCAAAAGGGAAUACCUCAGAGAUGAAUAUAUGUGGCUCUGCUGCGCGUAUCAUUUAGGUUCACAGGAUUUUUCAAAAAAAGAGGAAGGAUUGGUGAAAACUUUAAUUCAGAGUGAACUCAUUGAAUAAAGGGAAAACUUCAAAAACCCCCUUGUGGUUUCCAACUUUCUCACUUUAGUACCCUGUGGUUUCGAGUGUAUCAAUUUGCCCCCCUAUAGUUUUGUUUUUAUCUUUCCUAUAGCUUU